rnacentral:rRNA from 1 species
CCUACGGGAGGCAGCAGUGGGGAAUAUUGGGCAAUGGAGGAAACUCUGACCCAGCGACGCCGCGUGCGGGAUGAAGGCCUUCGGGUUGUAAACCGCUUUCAGCAGGGAAUAAGCGCAAGUGAAGGUACCUGCAGAAGAAGCACCGGCUAACUAUGUGCCAGCAGCCGCGGUAAUACAUAGGGUGCAAGCGUUGUCCGGAAUUAUUGGGCGUAAAGAGCUCGUAGGUGGUUUGUUACGUCGGAUGUGAAAUUCAGGGGCUCAACCCCUGACUUGCAUUCGAUACGGGCAAGCUGGAGUUUGGUAGGGGAGACUGGAAUUCCUGGUGUAGCGGUGGAAUGCGCAGAUAUCAGGAGGAACACCGAUGGCGAAGGCAGGUCUCUGGGCCAAUACUGACACUGAGGAGCGAAAGCGUGGGGAGCGAACAGGAUUAGAUACCCUGGUAGUCCACGCCGUAAACGGUGGGCACUAGUUGUGCGAACCUUCCACGGUUUGUGCGACGCAGCUAACGCACUAAGUGCCCCGCCUGGGGAGUACGAUCGCAAGNUUAAAACUCAAAUGAAUUGACGGCUGAGACGNGCGACGCGACGACGAGGGAGGAGG